rnacentral:rRNA from 1 species
GAUUCGUCACACUAUCAUUAACUGAAUCCAUAGGUUAAUGAGGCGAACCGGGGGAACUGAAACAUCUAAGUACCCCGAGGAAAAGAAAUCAACCGAGAUUCCCCCAGUAGCGGCGAGCGAACGGGGAGGAGCCCAGAGCCUGAAUCAGCAUGUGUGUUAGUGGAAGCGUCUGGAAAGGCGCGCGAUACAGGGUGACAGCCCCGUACACAAAAGCGCAUGUGCUGUGAGCUCGAUGAGUAGGGCGGGACACGUGGUAUCCUGUCUGAAUAUGGGGGGACCAUCCUCCAAGGCUAAAUACUCCUGACUGACCGAUAGUGAACCAGUACCGUGAGGGAAAGGCGAAAAGAACCCCGGCGAGGGGAGUGAAAAAGAACCUGAAACCGUGUACGUACAAGCAGUGGGAGCACCCUUUGGGUGUGACUGCGUACCUUUUGUAUAAUGGGUCAGCGACUUAUAUUCUGUAGCAAGGUUAACCGAAUAGGGGAGCCGGAGGGAAACCGAGUCUUAACCGGGCGUUAAGUUGCAGGGUAUAGACCCGAAACCCGGUGAUCUAGCCAUGGGCAGGUUGAAGGUUGGGUAACACUAACUGGAGGACCGAACCGACUAAUGUUGAAAAAUUAGCGGAUGACCUGUGGCUGGGGGUGAAAGGCCAAUCAAACCGGGAGAUAGCUGGUUCUCCCCGAAAGCUAUUUAGGUAGCGCCUCGUGAAUUCAUCUCCGGGGGUAGAGCACUGUUUCGGCUAGGGGGCCAUCCCGGCUUACCAACCCGAUGCAAACUGCGAAUACCGGAGAAUGUUAUCACGGGAGACACACGGCGGGUGCUAACGUCCGUCGUGAAGAGGGAAACAACCCAGACCGCCAGCUAAGGUCCCAAAGUCAUGGUUAAGUGGGAAACGAUGUGGGAAGGCCCAGACAGCCAGGAUGUUGGCUUAGAAGCAGCCAUCAUUUAAAGAAAGCGUAAUAGCUCACUGGUCGAGUCGGCCUGCGCGGAAGAUGUAACGGGGCUAAACCAUGCACCGAAGCUGCGGCAGCGACACUGUGUGUUGUUGGGUAGGGGAGCGUUCUGUAAGCCUGUGAAGGUGUGUCGUGAGGC